rnacentral:rRNA from 1 species
UACGAAGGGGGCUAGCGUUGUCCGGAAUCACUGGGCGUAAAGGGCGCGUAGGCGGCUCAUGAAGGCUGUGGGGAAAGUCCGGGGCUCAACCUCGGAUCGGCCGUGGCGACUCGUGGGCUGGAGCACUGUAGAGGCGGGUGGAAUUCCGGGUGUAGCGGUGGAAUGCGUAGAGAUCCGGAAGAACACCAGUGGCGAAGGCGGCCCGCUGGGCAGUGGCUGACGCUGAGGCGCGACAGCGUGGGGAGCAAACAGG